ensembl:snRNA
AUGCUAUAUGGAAGGAGAGGUUAGCGCUCCCCUUGACAAGGAUGGAGGGGCUUGAGCCUCACAACACACAUGUAGUUAAGGCACUGGCAUGGAAGCUGUGGCAUCCGAUCACUGUCUUUA